UACAGAGGGUGCGAGCGUUGUCCGGAAUCACUGGGCGUAAAGGGCGCGUAGGCGGUCUGCUAAGCGUGUGGUGGAAAGCUCGGGGCUCAACCCCGCGUCGGCCAUGCGAACUGGUGGACUGGAGCUUGUCAGAGGCAGGCGGAAUUCCGGGUGUAGCGGUGGAAUGCGUAGAGAUCCGGAAGAACGACCGGUGGCGAAGGCGGCCUGCUGGGACAAUGCUGACGCUGAGGCGCGACAGCGUGGGGAGCAAACAGG
rnacentral:rRNA from 1 species